CCGCGCCGCGCGGCCUUGGAGAGGAGUGGAGACCCGAGCGACUCCCGGGCCCGAAAGUUGGGUUAGGAAGAACUCAAAGGAAAUACAGAAAAUGUAACAAUGAGGAAAGCAUCUGGAUUCCAGAUCUUUGUCAGCAGCAGGGUUCCUGAGUCAGAAGUCAUACUGACUGGUGGCAGCCUCCUUCAGCCAGUGAGCCUUGGAGAAGAGAUGCUUAUCUAGAUAGCUCGGAUCAUCUUCGCCAGCUUCGAGAAUCGCAGCUAGUGAAAAGAAACCCAUCAUGCUUCCUAUCCCAUAAUUGGCUUCUCACCAUGAUGGAGAUGCAGGAUGGAAAGAGGAAAACUUUAGUUUCAAAUGGAUUUCAUAGUUUUAUUUUUUCAGACUGGACAUUUCAAUUACUAGACUGAGAUUGUCCUGGGAACUAAAGUGAUACUUUAUUAUCUGGGAGUGACUGGAAUAGUCUUAAGACAUGAUCUAGUUUUCAGGUGGGGCAGGUAAGAAACAGCUUCAGAGGAGUUGUAUGAAUUGUUAAUCAGUCAGGGGGAGACUGCUGCCUUGUCACAGACAAGUUGGAUGCUGAUCAAUUCCAUUUCCUCUUCCAGGGAACACAAGAAAAGUAAUUCUCAGCUUCUGUUGUAGUUGGGUUGGGUUCAUGUGACUGGGAUCUCGCCAGUAAAAUGUGAAUGGAGAUAUACUAUUAUGUAGCGCGAGCUAUAAACCACUCCAGUGAUUCCCAGUCUAAUUUUCUCCUGACCUAUGCCUAGAAAUGAGGGAGACUAUACAUGAGGGAAAUCAUGCUGUGUAAUGGGAAGUCAAUAUCCCUGAGUCACUGCUUGGAAGCCAGCACUACAUCAAGAUCUCCAGCAAAUCACCUGACCCUAGGCAGACUGUAA